GUUUUAGACAUCUUCACAUCUCUGUACACACCAACAUCCUAUUUAUUAGCUGUAAAUGUGUACUUAUUUCACCAUACAUUUCUAUAUAUCGCUAGAUAUGUUUAACAAUUGCUUCCCAUGUAUUUCUUACAACAUAUUACACACUUCAGACAUAUUUAUAUGUUGUGCAUAUACUAAAUUAUUUCUCUGUAUCAAUUUCUACACUUUAAUUUUUUGCACAUCUUGCAUUUAUAAGGGUCAAAUUAUUUGAUUUAUAAUAUUUUUCACUUUAUCACUCGCCCCAAACUCAGUUCAUGUUUAAUACUAUUUUAUGAAUCACUAAUACUGGCCACUAAAACAGCCACCGGUUAAUUUGACUCAAAGUUUUAAGUCUGUUUUGAUCAAUAUUCUCAGUUUAAAAUACAUUCACACCUGUGUAGGUGAAUAAUAUGUCAUUCUGUGUUAUCACUGUGUUGCCUCCUGUUCAAAGUUUGAUUUGUGCGGGGAGAUUUACUGUUUCUGAAGCUUUUACAAAGUCAAAUCGCUCUACCAAAGUGAAACAUCAUUAUGAAAAGUCAGAUAAAAGUAACACAGUCAGGCGUUUUAAGCACUAUUUACAAUAAUGAGUAAGCAUUAGCUAUGAUAUAACUGAUGCAAUACUACUCAAAGUUACAUAAAUGCUGAGAUGAUAUACUAUAACCCCUGCAUGUGUUAUCUUGAAUCUUUAAGGUGCUAAAAGAUCACAGAAACGGAAGGCAGUUAAGGAACAUAAACCAUUUCAGGUUGCAUGGAUACAAAGUUUCCACAGUAAACCACACUAGAAAAAGGCAACAACAGAGCUACAGAAUGUUACUUUGGAUAUCUCUAGUUUACCAUAAACACUUGCUCCGACGUUGGUCAACUUCCUGAUGCAUUCUUCAUCACUUUCGUAGAUACAUUUCCCAGUUAAAACUCAAUCCUAUCGCCUGUCUCACCUUUCACAUCUCUCUCGAAGAUUCUGCUCAGUUUGAUUGGUAAAUGUGCAGCUACAAUCAACUAGCCUAAAUGUUGUCUAGCUUUAGAUUUGGGACUGAAUCAAGAAGACAUCAAUUCCAAAGACUAAGCAUGCAAAUCUCCCAUUCUUUACAUUUUGAACCCUCCACAACAUGCUACCUUCUAAGAAAACAACAACACUUUCAGUAAUAACACCAUCCAAAUGUUCAACUAUCAACUGUCACAGUUUGUGUCUGUGAAGCCUGUGAGUUUUUCUGUUACUGUGUUUUGUAGUACUCCGUAUUAAAUAGGUAUUCCACUCAGAAACUAACAA